UAGUGUCAAUUUUGGCGCAGAUGUUGGA
rnacentral:sRNA from 1 species